AACGAACGCUGGCGGCAGGCCUAACACAUGCAAGUCGAAGGAGAAGCCAUCUUCGGAUGGUGGAAACUGGCGCACGGGUGAGUAACGCGUGGGUAUCUACCUCGGGGUGGGGAAUAACCGCUGGAAACGGCGGCUAAUACCGCAUACGCCUUAAGAGGGAAAGCUCCGGCGUCCUGAGAGGAGCCCGCGUUGGAUUAGCUUGUUGGUGGGGUAAUGGCCUACCAAGGCUACGAUCUAUAGCUGGUCUGAGAGGAUGAUCAGCCACACUGGGACUGAGACACGGCCCAGACUCCUACGGGAGGCAGCAGUGGGGAAUAUUGGACAAUGGGCGCAAGCCUGAUCCAGCCAUGCCGCGUGAGUGAAGAAGGCCUUAGGGUUGUAAAGCUCUUUCACCUGCGAAGAUGAUGACGGUAGCAGGAGAAGAAGCCCCGGCUAACUCCGUG
rnacentral:rRNA from 1 species